rnacentral:rRNA from 1 species
UGUGAACUCGAAGAGUAGGGCGGGACACGUGGUAUCCUGUCUGAAUAUGGGGGGACCAUCCUCCAAGGCUAAAUACUCCUGACUGACCGAUAGUGAACCAGUACCGUGAGGGAAAGGCGAAAAGAACCCCGGCGAGGGGAGUGAAAAAGAACCUGAAACCGUGUACGUACAAGCAGUGGGAGCACCUUCGGGUGUGACUGCGUACCUUUUGUAUAAUGGGUCAGCGACUUAUAUUCUGUAGCAAGGUUAACCGUAUAGGGGAGCCGCAGGGAAACCGAGUCUUAACUGGGCGUUAAGUUGCAGGGUAUAGACCCGAAACCCGGUGAUCUAGCCAUGGGCAGGUUGAAGGUUGGGUAACACUAACUGGAGGACCGAACCGACUAAUGUUGAAAAAUUAGCGGAUGACUUGUGGCUGGGGGUGAAAGGCCAAUCAAACCGGGAGAUAGCUGGUUCUCCCCGAAAGCUAUUUAGGUAGCGCCUCGUGAACUCAUCUUCGGGGGUAGAGCACUGUUUCGGCUAGGGGGUCAUCCCGACUUACCAACCCGAUGCAAACUACGAAUACCG